GUGCUCAAUGAAUAUUUGUCAGAAGAACAUUAGACAUGUUAAUCCAGGGUGUCUUUUAGCCCUAGCUGUUGGGACACCCCUUUCUCUCUGUCCUUCCCGCUCCCAUCUCCUCUCCUCCGUCCUGCCGGAUGCACUUUUCCCACAGGGCCUGCCCUGGUCACCUGAAGUGAGGCUUUGCGUAGGAGGGCGGGGCAGGCAGGAGGAGGAAAAAUUAGACCCGCCUGCACUUAACCUCCACUGUUUGGAAGGAAAGUUUGCCUUCUUUUCAGCGACCACAACAAAUAAUGUUGUGUGUUGGGCUCCAGCCAUCUGACCCUGUUUGACAGGUCUUCACUCAUUUUAGGAUGUCUAAGAAGAAAGCAAGUUUUUUGCAACAAAAACGACCCGCUUCGCCACACAAAGGCUGGACAGAAAAGCCACGAGCGUGAGCCCAUCCCAGUGAACCCAGCCCGUCAGUUCUUUAGUCAAAGGGGGCAACUCAGGGUCUGAUCUUGGAGAAUUUGGAUUCUAUUCACGGACUCAGAAAUGUAUCUAAGGCACUCUUGGCAUCCCAGGGAUCGGCACAAGAGCGUGAGCACCUGCCGCUUUGCAAGGACUCAGUUUCCAUCAACGGGUGGGUCCUACGCCCCAGCCAACCCUAGACUCCAGCUUAUCCCGUGAUCGGGAUGAGCUGGCAGAAAAACUGCUCAAAAGCUGUGUCUUAGAGGCGUGACGCUCCUGCCUAAGACUCCUGCCAAGACCUCAUCCAGCUUUAAGUAUUUGGGUAGCGACAGCAAGGCGGGAUUCUCCAAGAGAGAAGACAAACACAAGGCAGGGCUGGCUGGGCCCCUCAAGGAGGAUGAGGCGAAAGCCGGGCCCCAGGUGCCUCACUUCACGUGUGAAGACGUUGUCAGGAGCCCAGAGAAGUCGAGGCCUCUUAACCCUGUCUUGUGAAGGCCCCGUGCGCUCCCUGAGUCUUGGGUCUCCAUCCCCGGUCCGUGAACACGUGCCCGUGAGACCUCCAGUAAAGGCUCUGCCUGGACCGUGCCUGGCCCUGUGGUGGCUGGUGUGGCCCUCGUGCACUGAAGAUGCAGUUAGCAGCUGGCCCUCGCUCAAGCCCCACGCAACCCCAGUGAGACAUCGGGGUGCGAGCUCGUUUCCCUCGCACGCGUGUGUGGAAACCCCGCCUUGGGGGGCACAUUGCUGGGCCGCGGCCACCGUGACCCUGUGCUUUGCUAAUUCUGACUUGUGAACCAGACCAGCCGGAUGGAAGCCGUUCUCCAGGACGGUACCCAGACAGUGGAGCUGGCACGUCUGCCCAGCGCGGUGUCUGAGCCAGACGAGGGAGUACGGCACAGGCACGGCCUCAUCAUUACCAGGGGCCUGUCACCCAGGUUGGACACCAGUUGCCGCUGGUUGUCCAAAUCAACGACCAGGUCGUCCAGCUCUUGCUGAAGCCUGUUCUUGGUCUUUUCCAGUUUGUCAUAAGCAGCUGCCUUCUCUUC